GAUUCUGGCUCAGAACGAACGCUGGUGGCGUGUUUUAUACAUGCAAGUCGAGCGAGGACGGUAGCAAUACCGAGCCGAGCGGCGAACGGGUGAGUAACGCGUAAGCAACCUGCCCCACAAUCGGGAACAACCGUGCCAACGCGCGGCUAAUGCCGGAUAUUGUAGUCUACUGCAUAGUAGGCCAACGAAAGAUUUAUUGUUGUGGGAUGAGCUUGCGUCCGAUUAGCCAGUUGGCGGGGUAAUAGCCCACCAAGGCGACGAUCGGUAGCCGGCCUGAGAGGGUGAUCGGCCACAUUGGGACUGAGAUACGGCCCAGACUCCUACGGGAGGCAGCAGUAGGGAAUAUUGCGCAAUGGGGGGAACCCUGACGCAGCCAACGCCACGUGUGGGAAGAAGCAUUUCGGUGUGUAAACCACUGUCGGAAAGGAAUAACGGAAGACUUCGGUCUUUAUGAAUGUACUUUUAGAGGAAGCACCGGCAAACUUCGUGCCAGCCGCUGC
rnacentral:rRNA from 1 species